rnacentral:rRNA from 1 species
UACAGAGGUCCCAAGCGUUGUUCGGAUUCACUGGGCGUAAAGGGUGCGUAGGUGGCGAGGUAAGUUUGAUGUGAAAUCUCCGGGCUUAACCCGGAAAUGGCAUUGAAUACUCUCUCGCUCGAGGGUGGGAGGGGGGACUGGAAUUCUCGGUGUAGCAGUGAAAUGCGUAGAUAUCGAGAGGAACACCAGUGGCGAAGGCGAGUCCCUGGACAACUCCUGACACUGAGGCACGAAAGCUAGGGGAGCAAACAGG